GAUUUAUAGAAUUCCAUUGUUUAUAAAUACUAUACUAAAUAAACAGAACUUCUUUAAUUACUUGGAAACAGUCUGUGGGUCUGGUAGGAAGAAACCGCAAAGUCUUAAGGGCUGGAGAUACUGAAGCCCUGUUCCUGUGUGUCCUGCAUUGAGGGAAUCCUUAAAUUGCACCCCUUAAGACAUCAAGCUCAGCUUUGCCUGUGUCUUCAAGACAAGAAAUACAAGUCUAUGGCGGGAGGAGGGAGCUCUGCCCACCAGCUCUAGGAGAACUGAAAAUUAUAGCAGGAGUUGAAUCUGCUGAAAAAUACCAUAUAAUGACUAAUCUGGAGUCCGCCAGAUGAUGUAGGCGCAGUCUGUCUACAGCCCUCUUGUCUUUCCAAUAGGGCAGGGUCCUCUCUUCCAAGUCAUGGCUGGAAAAAAUCUUCACGAUGGUCUAAGCUGGAUGCAGAAGAGGAAAGAGAAUGACUCAGAUC